CAGAUGUUGCAGUAUGUUAUGCUAACUGCAACGGGAAUACGCCUAAAGGUUAUUGCUUCGACAACGGAAGAGGGCAUUGCAGGUGUAACUGUGUUGGCAGGGAUCUCGAGUGCAGGCCUGCGAAUGGACAUCACUGCCAGAACAAUACUGCCGAGAAAUGCGAAGACGGAGAUCGUUUGUGCCUUUGCCGCUGUGAAUAGAAGACCUAUUCUGAAAGACAAGGAUGAAAAUCAAGUCAUCACGGACGUCCUUCUUUGUCUUUCUCCUUAUGUCAGAAGAGCAAUAGUGAAGGAGGAAUAAACUUUUGUGCAUCAAAAUAUUGCGUUUUUCUAG